rnacentral:rRNA from 1 species
GUUACACAAGAUCUUAAUUGUCUCCUAAAUUAACCUGAACCUGAGAUUUUUGUAAAAACGCAAAACAUUACCUAAGGGACGAUAAGACCCUAUAAAUUUUAGUAGAAAACCUAUUUGAAGAAAUAACCACCUUAAUCUACUUAGUUGGGGCAACACAGAUGUUUAAAUUAUUUGAUUUUUAACCACUUUAAGUGUCUUCAAAAGCCAAUAAAUUGCACAAGAAAAAAAUACUUUAGGGAUAACAGCGUUAUUACUUUGAAGAGCCCGUAUCAAUAAAGUAGUUUGCGA